rnacentral:rRNA from 1 species
AGUGGCGGACGGGUGAGUAACGCGUGAGAAUCUGCCUUGGGGUCGGGGACAACCACUGGAAACGGUGGCUAAUACCGGAUAAGCCGAUUGGUGAAAGAUUUAUUGCCCGAAGAGGAGCUCGCGUCUGAUUAGCUAGUUGGUGAGGUAAGAGCUCACCAAGGCAGCGAUCAGUAGCUGGUCUGAGAGGACGAUCAGCCACACUGGGACUGAGACACGGCCCAGACUCCUACGGGAGGCAGCAGUGGGGAAUUUUCCGCAAUGGGCGAAAGCCUGACGGAGCAAGACCGCGUGAGGGAGGAAGGCUCUUGGGUUGUAAACCUCUUUUCUCAGGGAAGAAGCUCUGACGGUACCUGAGGAAUCAGCCUCGGCUAACUCCGUGCCAUCAGCCGCGGUAAUACGGAGGAGGCAAGCGUUAUCCGGAAUUAUUGGGCGUAAAGCGUCCGCAGGUGGCGAUUCAAGUCUGCUGUCAAAGCACGGGGCUUAACUCCGUAAAGGCAGUGGAAACUGAAUAGCUAGAGUGCCGUAGGGGUAGAGGGAAUUCCCGGUGUAGCGGUGAAAUGCGUAGAGAUCGGGAAGAACAUCGGUGGCGAAAGCGCUCUACUGGACGGCAACUGACACUCAGGGACGAAAGCUAGGGGAGCGAAUGGGAUUAGAUACCCC